ACCUUCCUUCGCCUCCCCACCCCGCCGGGGCAGCGUGUUUUGGACCCCGGGCUGUUCGCUCCGACAGUGCCAAAAUCCGAACUAGGACUUUGUGCCAGUCGCAGAAAGGCAUGGUUGUUAGAAACCGCUUUGGCCCAGAAUUAGGAAAACCGUUUAACAGAUAGAGGCCGGAGUCCAGGACGGGACGGAUAGUCCCAGGGGGAAGCGCGUUAGCACUGCGCCGUGGGAAGAGCGGGGAGCCGGCGAGGAGAGGAACUGCUGCGCUGUUGCACAGCCAUCUAUCCCUCCUCCAGAUCUGCCGACGUUAGAAGAAAGACAGCAGUAACCUGCAAGGAUUCCUCAGCAACAAGAUGUAGGGCUAUCUGCACUCCCCUGCGCAGCCUAAACUCCAAAAGUUUAAGGUCCCUGAAGGACAGAAACUGAGCUGCUCACUCCCGGCAGCAGCAGUCCUGCCCCAAGGGGGUGCUGCAGAAGUGUGAGGCACCCCCGGCUUCACCCACUGAGGAAGAGGAGUCAGAGCUGCUGGGCUGCAGCGGGGCCCUGGCCAGGACACCCGGGAGGCAGCUGCUCGCCGGGCAGCACUGCAGACGCUUUACAGCUGCCUCCUGCACGGCAUUCCCAAGAAAGUGUUGUGACUCCCCCCCUGGCAAUGAAUCCACCUUCUGAGAUACAGGAAUCAAAUUGCAGUGCACUUAAACAGUCAGGCUGAAUCAAGUCCUGAGGACUUUUUAAUUUUCUUUUUAACAGCAAAGAGAAAAUAUGAGUGUAUGCUUUCAUAAAACUACACCAAACUACUAUAUAAACACUGCAUGGUGGAGUGGAUAUUUUAGUUUGUGGUGGGACAGCAGGAAUAAGCUUAUAAAUCUACGGCCCAGGGUCAAUGCUUAAGAAGAGAUUAUCUCUAAGCUUUACUUACACAUUCUAUUUUGGCCCAACAAUUUACCAUGUAUUUCUGGAAAAGAGAAUAGUCCCUCCUCAUCCCUGCUGGCACAGAGCACAUGGCAAGAAGCAUCUUCCUGAAAGGAAAGGGCUAACACAUAAGAAGCGACGGUAAGUUCCAGUCGAUGCUGUAGGGAAGCCAACCUGACUUGAGCUGCAGUGGAGAUAAAAUAAAUCUACUCAGCUUCAGUCUGGCAUUCUUUCUAGCUAAUGACACAGGCUUUCAUGUAGCCUCAUCAUCUGUCGGACAGCCUGCCACAGCCCUCACCCUAACAGUUUCGCCUCAAGCCAUGAUCUGUGAGGGCUUCUUCUGAAACGAACCCACACAAAGUUUCUCUGAAGCAAUGCUUUUCUGAACUGAGCAAGAUGCAACUCCGCUUCCACCCACGUAACAACCUUUGCACAUGCCCAGAGGCACAUGACCAAAGCAUAUGAAAAUACAUAAACCAAAUAUUCCAGUUGCCAAAAGCUUAGAUCAAGAAAGGAAAAUGGGGCAGAAAUUUCAAAGGGGCCUCAAUACAACUAGCAAGCUAGGUCUGCAAAGCUGUACCCCCAUGGUUUUUUUCAAGUACGUAAGUUACAGGUGCCAUUGUAGAGGCUGCUCUCUAAAACUGGGCCCAUACCCUUCCAGCUAUAUCAUCAAACUCACAAAAUGAGGUUGUAAAGUAAGAAUAACCUUAUAACAGUAUGGUGUUAUUUGAGGAAGGAGAUUCUUAGUACACAAAAAAUAUCGGAAGGGAACAUCAAAACAUUAUGAGAUAUACUAAAAUGGAAUUCCUGUUAAGAUGAUAACUUACAUUUAUACAUAAAAGCAACGUAUUUAAAGUGUGCUUGUUAACAUUCGCAAAAUUAUUUUACUGACAGGCAUUCAGAGAGCAUAAUAAGGAAGCUAUAUUGCUAACAAAGUAACUAUUUUAAAUAAUAUUAAAUGUAUUAUUUAAUAUAAGUUAAUAGUAUAGAUUAAUAAGCUGCACAUAUGUAUGCUUUGGCUUUGUACUCCAGUGGCCAAGGAAGACAAAACAGCAGGGGAGUCUCGAGGUCUGAAAUUUAUAGCUGCACAGUCUCACAGCUAAGUAACUGAGUGCCGACCAGAGAUCGCCCUAG